UUGGCCAAAAGCGAGGUUAGGUUUAGUUUAGAUGUGUUUUGUUUAUUUCUUGCAAGGAAAACUAAAGCAAAAGCUUCGGGAGCAAAUUUAUGAGCUUCACCGAGCCGUAAGACCAUGUUCUUUUACCUUAUCGCCCCACUAGCCGUCUGAAUUUACCCGUGACUUCCAAUUAAAAGCAGAAUGGAGCGUUACUCGAGCCAUAAAAGUAGUAAACUAGUCAAAUCAAGUCCUCCAGCUUGGUCAUCUAGCUGACUUAAUGAAUAUUGCUGAAUGCUGUUUCUCAAAUAACGAAAAAAAGUUAACGAGUUUGCCUACCAGCGACGAAGAACGGACAGGAAAGCAUUCGGAGCAAAAACCAUAAAGUUAACGCACAACUUGAGUUGCUCCCUUUUCCCAAAUUUGGAUAAAUACUGUAUAUGUGAAAACUUGUUAUUCGCUCCGUGCGUUACCAUGAGGGAGGCAGUACCCUGAAACGAUGCCAGCGUGAGUAGCGGCGAAAUAUGGCAAUAUUGGAAGUAUCUCUGUAAUGUCAUCGUCAUUGUAUAAAAUUUUUUAUAAAAAAUGGUAAAUGAAUAUUGCGUACAGUCCGUCCAAUAUACUUACCGUUGCACGUCAUCCGCGUCAUAGGCCGUGACGUCACAUGAUACCAACACGAAAUAUUUAGGCGGUAAGUCUGUUUCUUUUUACAAUUAUUUAGCCGAGUACAAGGGAAUUACAGCCACUAGACAUAUUUUAUUAUAUACGCGUAGAAAUAAUAUUGGAAGAUUUCUAUUAAUGUACAUUUAAAGAAACAUGUCUUAACUUGUAUAAUUUAAUUUGUAUAAGUGGAAUAUAAAGCGUUUUUAUAAAGCACACUUGUUCGUAUUACACUCUAACUGCGAUCGAACAUAGGUGACAUUUUGGCAUAAAUUGGUAACAUUUAUUUGACAGUUGCGGUGAUGACACUUCAUAUUUAUUUUUAUUCUAUACUAUAAGGGCCGGUAUUUCCAACCUCACUUAAGCCAAAGCUUACUUUAAGCCUUUGCUUAAGCUUAGAUGCCUGUAUUUCCACUUCAAUUUGAGGCUUAAGCCUAGGCUUAAACCAAAUAAUUUUAAGCUCGCGCGGGAGUUGGUUUAAGCCUUUGCUUAAAAUUUGUUUUCUGUUUUUUGAGGUUAUUUCUAUAGAUUAUUAAUUAUAGAGUUGUUUUGAAAACCAACUUUUAAGUAAUAACGUUAUUAUUGGAUUAUUAAAUAAUAAUCUAUUAAUUUAUUAAUCCUAAUAACGAUUAUUAAAAUUCUUACUACUUUUGGAAGGUGUAGGCACAUGAAAAUUGUUUAUUUCUACAAUGCUUGGUAGGUAUAUUUAUUUUACAAAAAUAAACUUACAUUCCAAUUUGACAUUUUAAGUAAUAUAUCCAAUAAACAAAAUUACAAAGACGGAUCUAUUGCUUAUGCAAAAUAACAAUAAAAGUAUAACCAGAGAAAAUAUAGACAAUAAACUAAAAACACAUGUACCAUAUACACAAAAUUAAGUGAAGUAAAAAUAACAUUGAUACAGAUGACAAGAUAAAAUUAAAUGUCAACAGUAGUGGUUUUUACCUCAGAACAGUUAGCUCUGGCACUUUGACGUAUUCAGAGGUACCAAACCAAUUAACUUUACAGCUGAGCAUCAGUUUAGUUAAGAGAAUGAUGGAAAUACGGCACCCAGCUUAAGCUUCUCCUUAACUUUUGACACAGGCUUAGCUAAGCAAAAGCUUAAGUAGCUAUUGAAAUACCGGCCCUUAGUAUUUGCUUUAUUAUAUUUUCUGUUUUUAUUAUUUACUUUAACGUAAGAUUAUAACUUAAUUCUUGUUUUCUAUUUCUCAAGUUUUUAUUUAUUUACAUUGAAUAUUAAUUUGUUUUGUUGUAUAAUCCACUUCCGCAAAAAAUAUGUGAUAUAUUCGAUUUAAAAUAAUGAAUUCAAGAAUUUUUUGUAAUUGGGCAACACUGUCAACUUAGAUCUCUGACGUAGAUAAUGACGUGCAACGGUAAGUAUAUUGGACGGACUGUAUGUAUUUAAUUGUGCUAAUAAUAGCUAAAAUAGUAAGUGUAGUUUUUAUAGAUCUCAAAUAAAUGCAUAAGAGAAAUGAUUUAAAAUAGGAAGAGUAAACUCAAAAUACAGAUUCACACCCAAUAAUGUCACUAUAAAUAAUGUCGGCCUUCGACGGUAAUCCAGUAAUCAUUAUCGGACAACUUAUAAGACUAGUAACAACAAUACGUCGCUAAAGAGUUCUAAAAACAACAGUUUUGUUUAUAUAAAUGUAAACUAAAAAUCUAAAAAUUAAAUAAAUACCUCAGAAAAACAAAAAAUCGCCGAUAUAACUUAAUUAACCUAUGAAUUAUAAAUAUCGAUAGUGUUAAACUUUCAUAAAUGUCAAGAGUGUCAAAAUUUCAUAAUUUAGUUGAGUAAACUUGCCUGCGGUUGGAUUAAUUACAAACAAGCAUUAUAACGCGGUAAAUUUGAAUUACUCUUCCUAGCAUUAUAGCGCGGUAAAUUUGAAUUACUCUUCCUAGUUUCAAAACGAGGAUAGAUUCACUUUAUAUUCCGUUUGGGGUUGAAAAGAUAAAUUGUGAUGAAUUUUUAGAAACCCAGUUAUUAAUACUGUCGAACCCGCUUAUUGGAAUAGGCUUGGUGACAAUCAAAAAUAUUCCUAUAACCGGGAUAUUCUAAUAACCGAUCAUUGGUCGCUAAGAGAAAGGUUUCGGGACUUCAAAUUUCUAUUCCUUAAACCGGGAUAUUCCUUUAAGCGGUAUUCUAAUAAGCGGGUUCGACUGUACAUACUAAAUCACUUUUAUACGUGCAUUGGAAAAAUAUCGUUAAAAAACUAAUUAUUAAUUAUUUGCAACAUCACAGUAUAUAUUUAUCAUAUCAACACGGUUGAAAGGUAAAAGGUUAUAACCCACAAAUCAACUUUUUUCAGAAAGUAAAAAAACGCUCCAUUUAAGUAAUUUUGUUAGGUUAAUUCCUGAUAAAAUUACUUAAAUGCAACGUCUUUUCUACUUCCUGGAAAAAGUUGAUUUGUGGGUUACAACCUUUUACCUUUCAACAGUCGACAGCUUAACCCCAAAUUGUGAGAUCCAGGAGAAGUCAGGCGAAGGCGCUAGGUGUCGCGUCAGUCAUGCACGGAGCGAAUAGCAUACCGUUAAAUCUCUGUUUAGUAAAAUUUACUAUACUUAUUGUACACAAUAUUAUGUAAUGUAUUUAUCUUAAUAAUAUAAAAUGUACGUUCUUAUAAGAAGAGUUUCUAGAGUAAAAAAGAAUAUCAUCAAACUCAUACUGCUUUCCAAAAAACUUUUAGUACGUAAAUUAAAAUAAAAAGUAGUACGGUUGGUUUCAAACACUUAA